rnacentral:rRNA from 1 species
GACGAACGCUGGCGGCGUGCUUAACACAUGCAAGUCGAACGAUGAAGCUAGAGCUUGCUCUGGUGGAUUAGUGGCGAACGGGUGAGUAACACGUGAGUAACCUGCCCCGAACUCUGGGAUAACUGCUGGAAACGGUAGCUAAUACCGGAUAUGACCAAUGAAGGCAUCUUCUGUUGGUGGAAGGAAUUUCGGUUCGGGAGGGACUGGCGGCCUAUCAGCUUGUUGGUGAGGUAACGGCUCACCAAGGCGACGACGGGUAGCCGGCCUGAGAGGGUGAUCGGCCACACUGGGACUGAGACACGGCCCAGACUCCUACGGGAGGCAUCAGUGGGGAAUAUUGCACAAUGGGCGCAAGCCUGAUGCAGCGACGCCGCGUGAGGGAUGAAGGUCUUCGGAUUGUAAACCUCUUUCAGUAGGGACGAAGCGAAAGUGACGGUACCUAAAGAAGAAGCACCGGCUAACUACGUGCCAGCCGCCGCAGUAA